AUAACGGAAUAUAUUUGGGUUCAAACUCAAUUUAACCCCAACACGCCCGGAUCCGGCGCCUCAUCCCCAUCUCCCCUUGUUCCCGCAGGGCUCCGGGCGGCCGUGACCCUGCUGGAGUGCGGGGGGGACCUCCAGCCCCCUGGGGGGUCCCUGACUCUGCUCUGCCGCGGGUCUGGAUUCACGUUUGGGAGUUUCAACAUGAUGUGGGUCCGUCAGAGCCCCGGGAAGGCACUGGAAUUUGUCACAGAGAUCAGCUACGGUGGUGGCAGCACCUACUACGCGCCGUCAGUCAAGGGUCGGUUCUCGAUCUCCAGGGACAACGGGCAGAGCUCGGUGACGCUGACCAUGAACAGCCUCAAGGAUGAGGAUUCCGGUGUUUAUUUCUGCGCCAGACAUUUUGAUGAUUGCUGUGCCGUUGAUGGUCAUGUUGAUGAUUUUGGACGCAUCCCACUUUGA